CUACGGGCGGCAGCAGUGGGGAAUAUUGGACAAUGGGGGAAACCCUGAUCCAGCAAUGCCGCGUGUGUGAAGAAGGCCUGCGGGUUGUAAAGCACUUUCGGUUGGGAGGACUGCUUCUAGCACUAAUAUUGUUGGAAGUUGACGUUACCUUCAGAAGAAGCACCGGCUAACUCCGUGCCAGCAGCCGCGGUAAUACGGAGGGGUGCAAGCGUUAAUCGGAAUUACUGGGCGUAAAGCGCGCGUAGGCGGCUAGAUCAGUCGGGUGUGAAAGCCCCGGGCUUAACCGGGGAACUGCAUCCGAUACUGUCUAGCUUGAGUACAGGAGAGGAGAGUGGAAUUCCACAUGUAGCGGUGAAAUGCGUAGAUAUGUGGAGGAACACCAAUGGCGAAGGCAGCUCUCUGGCCUGAUACUGACGCUGAGGUGCGAAAGCGUGGGGAGCAAACAGGAUUAGAUACCCCUGUAGUC
rnacentral:rRNA from 1 species